UGAACGUAACGCGCUUGAAGCGCUGAGACUGCGGCAAACGGCUUUUCAGCUCCUGAAAAGCACUUUUGUACAUGCAUGCAAGGAUUCAGUCAAAACACAUGCUGAUACCUAAGAUUGCAUGAAAAUGAUCAUACCACACACAGAUCAUCGAGUGUUUCAAGAAGAAGCAUGAAAGUAACACACGGUAGAGCACUGAGUCUGCGGCAAACGGCUUUUCAUCUCCUGAAAAGCACUUUUGUACAUGCAUGCAGGGAUUCAGUCAAAACACAUGCUGAUACCUAAGAUUGCAUGAAAAUGAUCAUACCACACACAGAUCAUCAGAUUAUCGAGUGUUUCAAGAAGAAGCAUGAAAGUAACACACGGUAGAGCACUGAGUCUGCGGCAAACGGCUUUUCAUCUCCUGAAAAGCACUUUUGUACAUGCAUGCAGGGAUUCAGUCAAAACACAUGCUGAUACCUAAGAUUGCAUGAAAAUGAUCAUACCACACACAGAUUAUCGAGUGGUUACGAGAAAAAGCAUGAACGUAACGCGCUUGGAGCGCUGAGACUACGGCAAACGGCUUUUCAGCUCCUGAGAAGCACUUUUGUACAUGCAUGCAAGGAUUCAGUCAAAACACAUGCUGAUACCUAAGAUUGCAUGAAAAUGAUCAUACCACACACAGAUCAUCGAGUGUUUCAAGAAGAAGCAUGAAAGUGACACGCUAAAGCGCUGAGACUGCGGCAAACGGCUUUUCAGCUCCUGAGAAGCACUUUUGUACAUGCAUGCAAGGAUUCAGUCAAAACACAUGCUGAUACCUAAGAUUGCAUGAAAAUGAUCAUACCACACACAGAUCAUCAGAUUAUCGAGUGGUUACGAGAAAAAGCAUGAACGUAACGCGCUUGGAGCGCUGAGACUACGGCAAACGGCUUUUCAGCUCCUGAGAAGCACUUUUGUACAUGCAUGCAAGGAUUCAGUCAAAACACUUGCUGAUACCUAAGAUUGCAUGAAAAUGAUCAUACCACACACAGAUUAUCGAGUGUUUCAAGAAGAAGCAUGAAAGUAACACACGGUAGAGCACUGAGUCUGCGGCAAACGGCUUUUCAUCUCCUGAAAAGCACUUUUGUACAUGCAUGCAGGGAUUCAGUCAAAACACAUGCUGAUACCUAAGAUUGCAUGAAAAUGAUCAUACCACACACAGAUUAUCGAGUGUUUCAAGAAGAAGCAUGAAAGUAACACACGGUAGAGCACUGAGUCUGCGGCAAACGGCUUUUCAUCUCCUGAAAAGCACUUUUGUACAUGCAUGCAGGGAUUCAGUCAAAACACAUGCUGAUACCUAAGAUUGCAUGAAAAUGAUCAUACCACACACAGAUCAUCGAGUGUUUCAAGAAGAAGCAUGAAAGUAACACACGGUAGAGCACUGAGUCUGCGGCAAACGGCUUUUCAUCUCCUGAAAAGCACUUUUGUACAUGCAUGCAGGGAUUCAGUCAAAACACAUGCUGAUACCUAAGAUUGCAUGAAAAUGAUCAUACCACACACAGAUCAUCGAGUGUUUCAAGAAGAAGCAUGAAAGUAACACACGGUAGAGCACUGAGUCUGCGGCAAACGGCUUUUCAUCUCCUGAAAAGCACUUUUGUACAUGCAUGCAGGGAUUCAGUCAAAACACAUGCUGAUACCUAAGAUUGCAUGAAAAUGAUCAUACCACACACAGAUCAUCGAGUGUUUCAAGAAGAAGCAUGAAAGUAACACACGGUAGAGCACUGAGUCUGCGGCAAACGGCUUUUCAUCUCCUGAAAAGCACUUUUGUACAUGCAUGCAGGGAUUCAGUCAAAACACAUGCUGAUACCUAAGAUUGCAUGAAAAUGAUCAUACCACACACAGAUUAUCGAGUGUUUCAAGAAGAAGCAUGAAAGUAACACACGGUAGAGCACUGAGUCUGCGGCAAACGGCUUUUCAUCUCCUGAAAAGCACUUUUGUACAUGCAUGCAGGGAUUCAGUCAAAACACAUGCUGAUACCUAAGAUUGCAUGAAAAUGAUCAUACCACACACAGAUCAUCGAGUGUUUCAAGAAGAAGCAUGAAAGUGACACGCUAGAGCGCUGAGACUGCGGCAAACGGCUUUUCAGCUCCUGAGAAGCACUUUUGUACAUGCAUGCAAGGAUUCAGUCAAAACACAUGCUGAUACCUAAGAUUGCAUGAAAAUGAUCAUACCACACACAGAUUAUCGAGUGUUUCAAGAAGAAGCAUGAAAGUAACACACGGUAGAGCACUGAGUCUGCGGCAAACGGCUUUUCAUCUCCUGAAAAGCACUUUUGUACAUGCAUGCAGGGAUUCAGUCAAAACACAUGCUGAUACCUAAGAUUGCAUGAAAAUGAUCAUACCACACACAGAUCAUCGAGUGUUUCAAGAAGAAGCAUGAAAGUGACACGCUAGAGCGCUGAGACUGCGGCAAACGGCUUUUCAGCUCCUGAGAAGCACUUUUGUACAUGCAUGCAAGGAUUCAGUCAAAACACAUGCUGAUACCUAAGAUUGCAUGAAAAUGAUCAUACCACACACAGAUUAUCGAGUGUUUCAAGAAGAAGCAUGAAAGUAACACACGGUAGAGCACUGAGUCUGCGGCAAACGGCUUUUCAUCUCCUGAAAAGCACUUUUGUACAUGCAUGCAGGGAUUCAGUCAAAACACAUGCUGAUACCUAAGAUUGCAUGAAAAUGAUCAUACCACACACAGAUCAUCGAGUGUUUCAAGAAGAAGCAUGAAAGUAACACACGGUAGAGCACUGAGUCUGCGGCAAACGGCUUUUCAUCUCCUGAAAAGCACUUUUGUACAUGCAUGCAGGGAUUCAGUCAAAACACAUGCUGAUACCUAAGAUUGCAUGAAAAUGAUCAUACCACACACAGAUCAUCGAGUGUUUCAAGAAGAAGCAUGAAAGUAACACACGGUAGAGCACUGAGUCUGCGGCAAACGGCUUUUCAUCUCCUGAAAAGCACUUUUGUACAUGCAUGCAGGGAUUCAGUCAAAACACAUGCUGAUACCUAAGAUUGCAUGAAAAUGAUCAUACCACACACAGAUUAUCGAGUGUUUCAAGAAGAAGCAUGAAAGUAACACACGGUAGAGCACUGAGUCUGCGGCAAACGGCUUUUCAUCUCCUGAAAAGCACUUUUGUACAUGCAUGCAGGGAUUCAGUCAAAACACAUGCUGAUACCUAAGAUUGCAUGAAAAUGAUCAUACCACACACAGAUCAUCGAGUGUUUCAAGAAGAAGCAUGAAAGUAACACGCUAGAGCGCUGAGACUGCGGCAAACGGCUUUUCAGCUCCUCAGAAGCACUUUUGUACAUGCAUGCAAGGAUUCAGUCAAAACACAUGCUGAUACCUAAGAUUGCAUGAAAAUGAUCAUACCACACACAGAUUAUCGAGUGUUUCAAGAAGAAGCAUGAAAGUAACACACGGUAGAGCACUGAGUCUGCGGCAAACGGCUUUUCAUCUCCUGAAAAGCACUUUUGUACAUGCAUGCAGGGAUUCAGUCAAAACACAUGCUGAUACCUAAGAUUGCAUGAAAAUGAUCAUACCACACACAGAUCAUCGAGUGUUUCAAGAAGAAGCAUGAAAGUGACACGCUAGAGCGCUGAGACUGCGGCAAAUGGCUUUUCAGGUCCUGAGAAGCACUUUUGUACAUGCAUGCAAGGAUUCAGUCAAAACACAUGCUGAUACCUAAGAUUGCAUGAAAAUGAUCAUACCACACACAGAUCAUCGAGUGGUUACGAGAAAAAGCAUGAACGUAACGCGCUUGGAGCGCUGAGACUACGGCAAACGGCUUUUCAGCUCCUGAAAAGCACUUUUGUACAUGCAUGCAGGGAUUCAGUCAAAACACAUGCUGAUACGUAAGAUUGCAUGAAAAUGAUCAUACCACACACAGAUUAUCGAGUGUUUCAAGAAGAAGCAUGAAAGUGACACGCUAGAGCGCUGAGACUGCGGCAAACGGCUUUUCAGCUCCUCAGAAGCACUUUUGUACAUGCAUGCAAGGAUUCAGUCAAAACACAUGCUGAUACCUAAGAUUGCAUGAAAAUGAUCAUACCACACACAGAUUAUCGAGUGUUUCAAGAAGAAGCAUGAAAGUAACACACGGUAGAGCACUGAGUCUGCGGCAAACGGCUUUUCAUCUCCUGAAAAGCACUUUUGUACAUGCAUGCAGGGAUUCAGUCAAAACACAUGCUGAUACCUAAGAUUGCAUGAAAAUGAUCAUACCACACACAGAUCAUCGAGUGUUUCAAGAAGAAGCAUGAAAGUGACACGCUAGAGCGCUGAGACUGCGGCAAACGGCUUUUCAUCUCCUGAAAAGCACUUUUGUACAUGCAUGCAGGGAUUCAGUCAAAACACAUGCUGAUACCUAAGAUUGCAUGAAAAUGAUCAUACCACACACAGAUCAUCAGAUUAUCGAGUGUCAAUUUGUGUCUGCCAAUCACCGUGACGUGUGGUGACGACAACGCGCGUAUUCACCAAUGAGGGCGCCCACUGGUGAUUAAAAGGAGCACCUGUGCAGGAGGCGGAAGUUCUCAGGCACGCGGCAUUCUUUUGGUAGUUUGGUGGUUGACUCGUGUGGUUUUGUUUUGCCUUGUACCAUCUUUGUAUUAUGUAUAGUAUGUUGGUUAAGUCUGUGUUCUUUGGUGAGUCAGUGUUUCAUGCCUCAUUCUGGUCGUGUCUCUCUGGGGUUUCCUACCGUCUGUUAUCUGGUUGAUCAAAUGACAGUAUUAAACGGGGAAAGAGAUAGAACAGGUAAGACAUCACGUGAUGUACAUGUGCACGUGCCACUCUUUGUAUUUUUGUUUCUAGUAAGUGUAGUGUAUUUAGGGCGUCUUGGAUGCUGAAGACUUUUCUUUUCGUUUAAUGUGUGGAAUCUUAAAUCUGAACAUUGAUUCAUACUGAGGACAUGUUAAACUAUGAGAAACACAUAUCAUGCCAUCUCAGCAUGUUUUUAUGAUUGAAUAAAAUACAUUUUUACA